UACGGAGGGUGCAAGCGUUGUCCGGAUUUAUUGGGUUUAAAGGGUGCGUAGGCGGCCCUGUAAGUCAGUGGUGAAAGCCUCCAGCUCAACUGGAGAACUGCCAUUGAUACUGCAGGGCUUGAGUACAGACGAGGUUGGCGGAAUUGAUAGUGUAGCGGUGAAAUGCAUAGAUACUACCAAGAACUCCGAUUGCGUAGGCAGCUAACUAGGCUGUAACUGACGCUGAGGCACGAAAGCGUGGGGAGCGAACAGG
rnacentral:rRNA from 1 species